UACGUAGGGUGCAAGCGUUGUCCGGAAUUAUUGGGCGUAAAGAGCUUGUAGGCGGUUUGUCGCGUCUGCUGUGGAAUUUCGGGGCUCAACCCCGAACUUGCAGUGGGUACGGGCAGACUGGAGUACUGCAGGGGAGACUGGAAUUCAUGGUGUAGCAGUGAAAUGCGUAGAGAUCAUGAGGAAGACCAGUGGCGAAGGCGGGGUCUCUGGACAGUUCCUGACACUGAGGCACGAAGGCCAGGGGAGCAAACGGG
rnacentral:rRNA from 1 species